UAUUAAAGCCAGACAACCUUGAACAAACCUGAUCUCUGCUGAUUUCAGAAGCUAAGCAGGUUCAGGUUUAAUUACUAAUUAGUUGGGAGAUGUAGCACCUGGGAAUUCCAGGUAUUGAAAG
rnacentral:rRNA from 1 species